UCAAAACCACCAAUCAAUUACUCUCAGGCGAAAAAACCCCGCAUCUUACUGAUUAACUGCUACUAAGUGCCAAAACACUUAACUGCUCAGAGUGAAGAUAUAGCAGUUGCUCAGAGGAUAUUCUUGUGAUUGAAGCAUAUUUCAUGUUUUAUUGAGGCAUACUUGAUUCAAAAGCAUUUCGCAAGGGUGCAGGAUGAUUUGUUGCCAAGAGGAGCGAAGGAGGCUCAUAGCAAAGAGAAGAUUUUACAGAACUGAUAAUUUUGCAGGUACUAGUGGCCUAGCGGGCUUCUUCACUCUGUAGUGAAGCAUUCUGCAAUUACAGGAGACAGCGAAGAAAUGAAUAACUCUACAAGCUCCAGACUGUGAGAUCUCUGCUGCGUCUUCUGCUUGGGCUGCAAUGCUGGUAGCAUAUAUUUGUGAUAGACAGACAGAUGAGGGUAAGAAAUCUGCUGCUGAAGAGAGAGGAAGGCGCACGAUAACAAUAAGGAAGCAAAAUUCCCGUGGAAGAGUCUGAUACAAAGAUAGCAUCUUACAUUAAUACUGUGUGAGCUGCAGGCUUGCCCACCUGCCACAACGCGGAGCAGUCAAUAAGAGGAUUGCCGGGGCAUGUUUAUACUGCAGUGUAACCUCAACCCAGCUAUAAGCCAUCUACUUCAGCGUGGACAGCAGUCCAGCCAGAGAAGGACUGGGCAGUCCUGCUGCAAAUCCUCCCAGGACUUUGCAUAAACACUGCUGCCCAAAUCACCUAGCUAAUACCAACUCAGGUGGGCCUAUGGGAGCUAUCAAGCUUCACCUUUGGGCUGCAGCAAGGGCCUGACGUUAUCAAUAGAUUGACUGUUAAUGGAGGAUCAUCUCUUUUAGAUGAAGUCUGAAAGAGACAGGGCAGGAGUGAGAUGAAAUAUCCUGACAGCAGUGCAGGUGAGGCAUUUGUCACAAGAUGCUACUUGGUACCCGAAUAACAGCACAAAUAACUGCUACCAUUUAUGAAACCGGGAACGGUGUCCGGCAGCAGGGAAAUGACAGAAUCUCUCUCGGCAGGGCACUGCACACUCACCAUAUGAUGGAGUGAUUCUAAUAAAGACAGGCACAGAUCUUGAUUUCUGUCUUCUAAAGCUCACUGCACAAUGCCAGGCUGCAUUACCCUGUGUGUCAGCGUCAGGUUGAUAGUGUCAAAUUGCUCGGAGAGCGCCAUAGUGGCCUGUGACAAACGUACUGCACUGAUAGAGUUGCUGUGUUGGGAAAAUGGGCUGGAUGCCUGUGCUUAGGAGGAGUUACCAUUAUCUGUCCUGCAGUGGUGGCUAUAAGCUCUGAUCAAAGCUAUUAAAGCAGAUCCUACACCAGCAGGCAUGGAGACGGUCUCAUGCCUGAAGAGAAUAUGUCUGUUCAGACAAGCCGAGACACAGGAGGGCAAGCAAAAUGCUUGAAGUUAACCAAGGCUGCAGCAGGGCUGAGAGCAGUGUCCUCAGCCUGCACCAGUUCCAUGGAUGUGGCUGCCUUUG